GGGCCACCCGCCAAGGAACACAGCAGCCCCCAGAGGCUGGAAAACACCGAAGUGGGUUCUCCACGGAGACUCCAGAAUGAACGCAGCCCUGGACCCCUUGGUUUUUAGCCCAUUGAGAACUAUUUUGAGCUUCUGACCUUCCAAACUGUAAGGAGCAGGUACAUAAGACGUCUGAGCAUUUGAGCCAAGACUGGGCUCUGCUGGCAGCAACACUCCGUCAUGGAGCCCAGUGAUCUGGGUAUGACGAACCCUCGCCUCUUGUCCUCAGUUGGCACCGACGCCCAGGAAUGCCCAGUGGAUUGAAAUCACACGAUCCUCCCGCGACUGCCACCUGGAGACAGAAUUACAGAAAGGGGGAUAAAGAAUGCAAGCACUGUCUCGUCAUUCAAACUCUAACAUGUGGUUAAAUAAGCCUCACAGACUGCACAUGGAAAUUGAAAUCAAGCCAGGAAAACCCCAAUUUUUCACCUGCCUGUCACUUCGCAGACAUUCCAAGCGCGGGGUCUGUCUUCCGGGGCCUGGGCCCUCUGCCUUCCUUCCAUCAUCUUAGAGCAGGUGCUCUCAGACUGCCCUUGGCUUGCAUAGCUCGUGUCGUACUUCCAGUGAAAGGAUGAAAAUGCAACCUAACCCUCCCAGAACCCAGGAAGUUAAUAAAAAGCUCUAAAUGCCCCCGAAUUCCAGACCCUGCUGGCUGCCAGUAAAUAGGUAGAAGGUCACACUUCCUAUUGUUCCAGGGCCUGCUAUCCUGGCCUAAGUAAGAUAACAGGAAAUGAGUUGACUAAUCGCUUAUCUGGAUUCUGUAAAACUGACUGGCACCAUAGAAGAAUUGAUUACACAUUGACAGCCCUAGUGACCUAUCUCAACUGCAAUCUGUCACUCUGCCCAGGAGCCCACGCAGAUGCGGACCUCCGGAGCUAUUUUAAAAUGAUUGGUCCACGGAGCGCGGGCUCUCGAUAUUUUAAAAUGAUUGGUCCACGGAGCGCGGGCUCUCGAUAUUUUAAAAUGAUUGGUUUGUGACGCACAGGCUUUGUUGUGAACCCCAUAAAAGCUGUCCCGAUUCCGCACUCGGGGCCCGCAGUCCUCUACCCCUGCGUGGUGUACGACUGUGGGCCCCAGCGCGCUUGGAAUAAAAAUCCUCUUGCUGUUUGCA
rnacentral:lncRNA from 9 species